UAAGUCGGUCGAAUGGUCGCGUUCCGAUCUGAUCGGAAUGAGGAAAGUCCGAACGCCAUAGAGCGGGAUGCCUGCUAACGGCAGGGAGCAGCGAUGCUACGGAAAGUGCAACAGAAAGCAGACCGCUGACAGAUUAAUCUGGCAGUAAGGGUGAAAAGGUGCGGUAAGAGCGCACCGCAGAUUUCCGCAAGGAAGUCCGGCAAGGUAAACCCCAUCCGGCGCAAGACCAAAUAAAUCUUCCGUUUCGGGCUGCUCGCCCGAGUGCUAAGGUACCGGAAGAAGGGUAGGUUGCGUUAGAUAAAUGACCAUUACAACAGAAUUCGGCUUACAGACCGGCUUGUAAA
rnacentral:RNase_P_RNA from 3 species